rnacentral:lncRNA from 1 species
UAGAGAGAGAGGAAGAGAUCAACUGUCGGUUGUCGGCGGUUUGCGCUUCGGUGGCGGCUCAGGCUUUGGUUCGGGUUUGGGUUCUGGUUUAGGCAUCGGUUCAGGCUUGGGCUCGGGUUUUGGUUCAGGUUUAGGCAUGGGCUUAGGCAUGGGCUCAGGCUUUGGUUCUGGUUUAGGCAUUGGCUUAGGCUUGGGUUCGGGUUUUGGCUCUGGUUUGGGCAUUGGCUCAGGCUUGGGUUCUGGUUUAGGCAUGGGCUCAGGCUUUGGUUCCGGUUUAAUUGGCUCAGGCUUCGGUUCCGGCUUAGGCAUUGGCUCGGGCUUGGGCUCAGGUUUUGGCUCAGGUUUAGGCAUUGGCUCGGGUUUGGGCUCAGGUUUAGGCUCAGGUUUAGGCACUGGCUCAGGCUUAGGCUCGGGUUUAGGCUCAGGUUUAGGCACUGGCUUAGGCAUGGGCUCGGGUUUUGGUUCCGGUUUAGGCAUUGGCUCAGGUUUGGGCUCGGGUUUAGGCUCGGGUUUAGGCAUUGGCUUAGGCAUGGGCUCGGGUUUUGGUUCCGGUUUGGGCAUGGGCUCUGGUUUUGGCUCGGGUUUUGGCAUUGGCUUAGGCAUGGGCUCUGGUUUUGGUUCCGGUUUAGGCAUCGGCUCAGGUUUCGGCUCUGGUUUAGGCAUUGGUUUGGGCAUUGGUUCCGGCUUGGGCUCUGGCUUCGGCUCGGGCUUGGGCAUGGGUUCAGGUUUGGGCUCAGGUUUCGGUCCCGGUUUGGGCAUUGGUUCUGGCUUCGGCUCAGGUUUCGGUUCAGGUUUAGGCAUGGGUUCAGGUUUCGGUUCAGGUUUUGGCUCUGGUUUUGGCAUGGGCUUGGGCUCCGGUUUUGGCAUGGGUUUUG